AACGCGAAGAACCUUACCAAGGCUUGACAUAUACCGGAAACGGCCAGAGAUGGUCGCCCCGCAAGGUCGGUAUACAGGUGGUGCAUGGUUGUCGUCAGCUCGUGUCGUGAGAUGUUGGGUUAAGUCCCGCAACGAGCGCAACCCUCGUUCUAUGUUGCCAGCACGUAAUGGUGGGAACUCAUGGGAUACUGCCGGGGUCAGCUCGGAGGAAGGUGGGGAUGACGUCAAAUCAUCAUGCCCCUUAUGUCUUGGGCUUCACGCAUGCUACAAUGGCCGGUACAAAGGGCUGCGAUACCGUAAGGUGGAGUGAAUCCCAAAAAGCCGGUCCCAGUUCGGAUUGAGGUCUGCAACUCGACCUCAUGAAGUCGGAGUCGCUAGUAAUCGCAGAUCAGCAACGCUGCGGUGAAUACGUUCCCGGGUCUUGUACACACCG
rnacentral:rRNA from 1 species